UACGAAGGGGGCUAGCGUUGCUCGGAAUCACUGGGCGUAAAGGGUGCGUAGGCGGGUCGUUAAGUCAGGGGGGAAAUCCUGGAGCUCAACUCCAGAACUGCCUUUGAUACUGAAGAUCUUGAGUCCGGGAGAGGUGAGUGGAACUGCGAGUGUAGAGGUGAAAUUCGUAGAUAUUCGCAAGAACACCAGUGGCGAAGGCGGCUCACUGGCCCGGUACUGACGCUGAGGCACGAAAGCGUGGGGAGCAAACAGG
rnacentral:rRNA from 1 species